rnacentral:lncRNA from 10 species
AAAGUAGAGAAAGUGGAAGAGGAAAGAGUUACCCCAGCGAGAACCGGGAACCGGGCUGCAGACUCUCCGGCCCGGGGGAGGGAUGAGUUUCACUCUGGUUGCCCAGGCUGGAGUGCAAUGGCGCGAUCUCGGCUCACCGCAACCUCUGCCUCCCGGAUUCAAGCGAUUCUCCUGCUUCAGCCUCCCGAGUAGCUGGGAUUACAGUUAAUACAUUUCUAAACAGAUAUGCAGGGGAUAAAAAUGGCAGUCACUUCAUGAGUUGUGAAGAUUAAAUGAGAAAAUGUGUGCACAGUGCAACGUCCAGGCAUUUAGCCAAUGAUGGCCUAUAUGUUGAUGCUGCUAAAGAAGGGAAAACCUGCCAUCCCUUUGUCUUUAGGGAAUGAGCAAAAUCCAGGGAUA